GGCCAGGUAGCUCAAUAGGUAGAGCACCUGGUAUAUAUUCAGAAGGCCCGGGUUCAACCCCCAGUCUGGCCA